GCAACAUGGAAAAGCUGGUCAAUUAGUUGAAAAAUACCCAUAUGAGAUGAUCCAACAGUGAACUUUCUUUCUUUUCUUUUUUUUUUUUUUUGAGAUGGAGUCUCCCUUUAUUGCCCAGGCUGGACUGCAGUGGCGUGAUCUCGGCUCACUGCAAGCUCCGCCUCCCGGAUUCAAGCGAUUCUUCUGCCUCAGCCUGCGAUUCUUCUGCCUCAGCCUCCCGAGUAGCUGGGACUACAGGCACGUGCUACCACACCUGGCUAAGUUUUUGUAUUUUUAGUAGAGAUGGGGUUUCACCAGAUUAGCCAGGAUGGUCUCCAGCUCCUGACCUCGUGAACCGCCCGCCUUCGUCUUACAAAGUGCUGGGAUUACAGGUGCGACAAGAUAAUGAACCUCCAUUCCUCUGAGAGAAGAGUAUUUUGAAUAUUCGACUUUGCCCAUGAAUUUCCCUUUCCAUGUCUUGCUCUGUUGCCCAGGUUGGAGUAAAAUGGUACAAUCACAGUUCACUGCAGCCUCGACCUCUCCAGUUCAAGUGAUCCUCCUGACUCUGCCUUCUGAGUGGCUGAGACUAUAGGCAUGCAUCAUUAUGCCUGGCUUUUUAAAAAACUUUUUGUAAAGAUGGGGUCUCCCUAUGUUGCCCAGGCUGAUCUUGAACACCUGGGCUCAAGGGAUCCUCCUGCCUUGGCAUCCCAAAGUAUUGAGAUUACAGGCAUGAGCCACCAUGCCUGGUCCUAACAUCAUUUUUUGGAUACUGCGCUUACUUCCUAAGAUCAAGAACAAGCUGUAUGAAUGUCAUGGUUUCCCUGUUUAUUGAAAUUAUCUUUUAACGACAACUACUACUUCUUGAAACCACAUUGUUAAACUAAGAAAAACAACCAGCAACUACUACUCCUAUUUACUUGUACUAGCUCAUCUGACUUCCACAAAAAUCCUAUGAGGGGGAAAAAAACCAUCUUUUCGAAGAUUAAAGAAUUUUUCUGUGGCACCGCAGAGCUGAGGAGCGAUUGGACACUGAAUGAGGGGUAUAGUGAAUCUGGCUCCGAGAGAAGCCCUCUAAAUGGAAUAGCAGGUAGCUGUAUGGUGAGCAUUCCUCUCCCAGCAAUCUGUUGUUCUUUGUGAGCAGACUGGAGUGUGACAGCUGUGAAAACGAUCAAAGGCAGGUCCCAGACAGGAGAGGGCUGAUGACAAUGCCAGUUUCCCUCUAAGACCCUGUGGACAGCAGGGCCAUGAGGGAUGCUGUGACACAGAGUCUUGCUUGAUGCAGUGUGUGGUGUUACUCACAGGAGUGGGUUCAGCCACUCUUGGUGUGAAACCCAAGGAAAAUGUCUCUGCCGCAGCUGAUGUCAACAUGUACAGCAUGUGACCAGCUUGCAUUAAAGGAGAUGUGUGUAUGAGUUCUGCAGAAGUCCACCAAAUGUGGGCCAGGGUUAUUUCCCUGGUGAUGCUCUGAAGCUUUUGCCAAAGGACAAAUGGAAACAGGAAGUACAAUCAUGCACUGGGGUAAAGAAGAUUCAUCUGCUCUUAGCUACCUACCAUGCCAACACUCCUGAGAAAGCUCACAGAGGCCCAUGAUGCCCACCUGGAUCUGAGGACCUAGAAAGCCACAACAGGCAACCAUAAUCUGGGUCUUCCCUCAGCCAACUCCCCUGCAUAAAGUGAAUGAAUGAAAAACCCAUCUUAUAUUAAUCAGAGUUCUCUAGAGAAAAAGAACCAAUCAGAUGUGUAUAUAUAGAAAGAGAGAAUUAUUUUAGGGAAUUAGCUCACAUCAUUAUGCAGGCUGGUCAAUCAAAAAUCUGUGGAGUGGGCUAGCAGGCUGGAGACCCAGGGAAAGGCUAAAUUGCAGUUUAGAUCAGAAGGUCAUCUACUGGCAGAAUUCCCUCAUCUUCCAGGAAGGUGGAUCUUUUUCUACCAAGGCCUUCAGUUUAUUAGAUUAGGCCCAUGAACAUGCUGGAGGGUAAUCUGCUUUACUCAAUACAUACUGAUUUGAAUGUUAGUAUCAUCAAAAAGACCUUCACAGAAACAUCUAAAAUAAUGUUUGACCAAAUGUCUGCAUACCAUGGCCAAGCCAAGUUUACACAUAAAAUUAAUUAUCACACAUCCCACGAACACCAUCCCCAACAGAUGCUCAUGAGCAUUGUGGUUAUGAUUUCAACUUCAGAAUAAGGCAGAAAUGUGUACAAAUCCUGACCCUUUGACUUAUCAGCUCUCUAAAAAUCAUUAUAUGUCAACUUUCUAGACUUUACCUGAAAAACAGAAACCAAGAUACCCACAGCAUAAGAUUGUUAGGAUUGAAGAAAUUGUUACGAUUGUUAGGUAUGAAGAAAUUUAAACAAUGAUGCAGCUGAGAUAUUUAGAAUUGUACCUGGCAUGUACUUUGUAUUAAAUAACUAAUAAGGCCUUUUUCUGGUGAAAACAAAAUAAGCCUGGAUAAAAGAAGAUGAGACCAGAUUGGUUGAUGGCUCGGCCUGGGUGGGCUCCUGGCCCAUCUGAAAUUACAUUACUCUUAUGUAGUGCCUUUUUUGUUAUUGCUAAAAUAAAAUAAAUAAAACACUCUACUUUCAUACUUUGUAAAAUGCACUUCUCAUUCAGUUCCUCUUCCUGUGCCUUUUCCCUAUUGUCUAUCUGCACACAGCUGUUUUCUUCUGCACAUUUUCAUCACAGAGAAUUACCAGGUGUAGGUCAAAAGAUGCCACAGAGAUAACAAAGGAAAGGAAAAGCUUUUCUGCACUUCUAUCCUUGUAAGCACAAAAAUUAAUCACACUUUCAGUAAACAGGUCAGGUAAGUCAGUCCUGCACUUGAACCUUUUCUCCCCAAAUAAAUAGUUGAAAUGGGAAUGUCGAUUUCUGUAUUUGAACAGAAAUGUAUUAGUGUAGCUUUCAAAAGAAGACUACUCUCUCCAUAUGAAUAUCAUCAGACCCACAAAUACACAUAUGCAUACAUUCACAGUUCAUCCUAACGCUGCAGAAUAUUCUAAGAGUAACACAUUUCUGUACAAAUCAAGCAGCAGCUUUCACUUGCAUGCUAAUCUUCAAAUUAAUUCUGCAAUGAUCCAUUCAUUCCACAUCCCAACCUACAUCCUCAGAAAAACAAAGAUGUAAGUAAGGAACUCAGUAUAACAUGUUUGACUUUAGACACUACUCAAAUAUACUCAAACUUUAUAUGAAUAUGGAUAUUGCUCCUAGAUUAGGCAGUUCAGAAAACAAAUCUUGAUUAUUCUUAGUUACAAUGUAGUAUAAAAUAACAACAAUUUCAUGUCAACAACAGAAUCUCCUAAAAGAUCUUAUAAAGAUAAAAAGUCUUAGGUGUUAGUCGUCAAAGACUAAGUUGUAAAUGUAUCAUUGUAUUUGUGUAGUUAAUAAAACCCUAGACAAGAUAUGGGUUCCAGUUCUUGAACCACCACCACCUGUUCACCUUAAAUAAGUCAACUAAC
rnacentral:lncRNA from 10 species